AGGAUUAACAUUUCCAUAAUUUGGAUAACCUUGAUUCACCUGAUUAGUAGUUUGAUACUGAGGAUACGACAUAUUCAUCUGAUUAUUAUUAGGAUAAUUCUGGGUUUGGUUAUUCCACUGUUGAGCAGAGCUUCCAAAAUCCUUAUUUUGCGGAACCUCAGAAGGAUGUGGAGGAAUUUGAGCAUCAUUUGGUGCUGCAAAUGUUGCUAGGGUUUUCAAAUGUAAGGAAGAAAGCGGGGAGCUUAAGGUUAGGGUUUUCGGGAGCUUGAUAUCGGAAAUAGAGCGUGAAGAAGAGUAUAACAAACAUACCUUGUGCGAAGAAGUGAAAAUGGAGACUCGAGUUCUGCG
rnacentral:misc_RNA from 1 species